AAUUCGACGCAACACGAGAACUUACCAGGGCUUGACAUCCCUGACCGCGUAUGAAAGUACGUUUUCACCCUCGGGUGACAGGGAGACAGGUGGUGCAUGGUUGUCGUCAGCUCGUGUCGUGAGAUGUUGGGUUAAGUCCCGCAACGAGCGCAACCCCUAUUGUUAGUUGCCAUCAUUCAGUUGGGCACUCUAGCGAGACUGCCGGUAAUAAACCGGAGGAAGUGGGGAUGACGUCAAAUCAUCAUGCCCCUUAUGACCUGGGCUACACACGUGCUACAAUGGUUGGUACAACGAGUUGCGAGUCGGUGACGGCGAGCUAAUCUCUUAAAGCCAAUCUCAGUUCGGAUUGUAGGCUGCAACUCGCCUACAUGAAGUCGGAAUCGCUAGUAAUCGCGGAUCAGCACGCCGCGGUGAAUACGUUCCCGGGCCUU
rnacentral:rRNA from 1 species